GGCAGUAUGCCCAAAUGCGUGAAACUGCAGUUACGGGCCAAAAGCUAAUUCAAAUUUGCCUCACCCAACUCCAGUUGGAACCUUCAGUUAUCUCUAAAUUUUGCUGCCAGCAACUGAGGUUUUGCCGCAGAAGGAUCACACCUGGAUGCUGACUUGGCUAUAACGCUAUCUAGGAGAGAUUGCUCCUUAAAGGCCCUGUGCACAAGUUCCAGCCAGGAGACCUCGUCGUUGUUGGAAGGUGGUGCCCCUGUGCACAAGUUCCAGCCAGGAGACCUCAUCAUUGUUGGAAGGUGGUGCCCCUGGAGCAUCGCUGGGAAGGCCUUAUACUGUUAUUCUCACCACAAAUACAGCAUUGCGCGUAGAUGGCCAGAAGACUUGGAUCCACCACACUCAGGUCCAGCUCGCACCUCCGAGAGCACCGGAAAAGGAACCGGUUUGGAGAGUCAAGAAGCGGCCAGGCCAGGACCCCUUGAAGCUCAUCUUGACCAAGUCCCCAGGUUCGAGCUCUGAUCCGGACGCGUAUUGGAACAGCCUUACAUACGACGAGAAAUACGACCACGCCUUAGCAGAAGCAGUGGACUUUGAUGCUCUGCUUAGGCCUCAAUUGCGUUAAAUGUACCUUUCUGUAUUAUUGGGAAAUGUUUUGGCAAUUAUUAUGUUUGUUUUCUUGUUAUAUCUGUGUAGGCCACAAUGGCGCCAUGCCUAUUGGUGUGGACAACCCUUCUCCUCCACUUCUGUGGACACAGGGGUGGAGGGGAGUGGGGCAAGAACAUCUAUCUUACCGGGUACCGGGUGAAGGACCGGGUACAGCUUUUCAUUGUCACCAAUUGUUGGAUAUGUGGGGAACCACAGAAACAUGCGGGGCAGACAUUCCCAGUUUUACCAUUGUCUCUCCCAGCCAAUGGUACCCCGGAACACCAGGUCUGGUCCACCUCCAACAGCUCAAGGCUGGUGGGAAAGACCAGGUCACGGUGGUAUGCAGAUAACUAUUCAUGGGUACCCAAAUUUCCCCAACACUGGCCAAGGAAUAGGUCGGUUUUGUGUUUCCAAUGGAACAACCCCUCAAGGAGGAGGGGGCCCACCGUGAGUAGUGGCACAGCCCCUCAGUACCUCAGGAGGGAUGUGGGACAUUUCCCCCACUGCAAUUAUAUGAUCCGGCUGGACCACCGAUGAAAUUGUCCGUGGCUGAAUUGUACCAUCCCCCAGGGAUUCACAAGGGGCACAGAACAUCCUGGGGAGAUUAAGUUUAAUACUUUCCGCCUGAGUUCAGGAGGCGCCUUUUGGAUGUUAAUCGACACAAUUGUAUUGAAUAAUGGGUUGACAUUGUGAAGCAGGACACCAGGUAUAUAUUGGAUUUGUGGUACCUGGGUUGUGAAGGCACUGCCUCCCUAUUGGAAGGGAACAUGUACUUUAGGGGCAGGACUCCCAGGCAGCCUUCAGUUGCAUUCGCAUAAUGAGGUGUUUGGGAAAAUUAGGCCUGGAUGAUUCUCUCCCACCACGCACGAACAAAGACACUGGCUAUUUGAUGUGGCUUGAGCUCUCUUGCCCCAGUGAGGAGUGACUGAUAAUACUAUAACCGUUAGAAAUAUCACACUAGAAUUAGAAAGACUGACAAAUCUCACUUUAGAACUCAUCACCAUGUUUCAGAAGGAAACAGACUCCUUAGCCCAGAUGGUGGUGCAAAACAGGUUGGCCUUGGAUAAGAUAUUAGCUCAACAAGGUGGGAAUUGCAUUUUCAUUACCCAAACCUGUUGUCAUUAUUUCAAUCAGAGCGGAAUGAUUGAACUGGAUGAACAAAAACUCAGAGGCUUAGCUAGUAAAAUACAUAUGAAACCAGACCCGGGUUGGAACCUGUGGGAUUGGUUAACAGGAUGGUUACCCAGCUUUUCUUGGAUAAAGGGAUUGUUUAUUCUUUUUGUUUUAGGGAUAGGAAUUUGUGUAAUAAUGUGUUGCUGCUUACAAUGUUUUCCUGUUAUAACAACAUGUGCUAGGGACUUGUGCCACGCUGCUAGAGUAGGAAACCCCACAAGCCGAGGACCGCCAAUACAGGCCCUCUAUAUGCAAAACUUACAUUAAGAAUUAAUAUUAACAAAGAAAGAGGAGGGAAUUGGUGUAGGCCUGAACCAGACCGAAGCCAUUGUAAAUGUGGGCUAGGAGACACCAUAUAAGGAGUUGUUUGGCCGUGCAAAGAAGGGCCAGGAGACACUAGAUAAGAAGAUGUUUAUGUAUUGACUCAGGUAUAUGCACAGAAGUUAGCUGGAAUUUUACAGAAAGUACAGACAAAGAUGGGCAGUACCUAUGCAUGUAACUCCUAGACUAUAAAUAUAUCAUGUUUGUGUAUAUUCAGGGUCUUGGACUUGAGCAAGAGCUGGCCAAGACCUUUUGCUACUAUACUAUACUAUAACCCUUGCUAACUUGGCAAAGAGGCACCUUUUAACGUGGUGAUUCUCUUUAUUUAGCAGGGGGAGAGCAACUGGUCCUAUCCACCCCCAGCACAGGACCUCCAGUGACUGUUGCUGGUUUCUAUCUUGUGUUUCUUUUUAGAUUGUGAGCCCUUUGGGGACAGGGAGCCAUUUUAUUUGUUUAUUAUUUCUCUGUGUAAACCGCCCUGAGCCAUUUUUGGAAGGGCAGCAUAGAAUUCAAAUGAAUGAAUGAAUGAAUGAAACUAUAGAGCAAAAUAAAGCCUUUUAAAACCUUC